CAGUCUGCAACUCGAGUGUAUGAAGCUGGAAUCGCUAGUAAUCGCGGAUCAGAAUGCCGCGGUGAAUACGUUCCCGGGUCUUGUACACACCGCCCGUCACACCAUGGGAGUCGGGAAUGCCCGAAGCCGGUGGCCCAAUCGAAAGAAGGGAGCCGUCGAAGGCAGGCCGGAUGACUGGGGUGAAGUCGUAACAAGGUACC
rnacentral:rRNA from 1 species